ACGGGUGAGUAACGCGUGGGAAUCUACCCUUGACUACGGAAUAACGCAGGGAAACUUGUGCUAAUACCGUAUGUGUCCUUCGGGAGAAAGAUUUAUCGGUCAAGGAUGAGCCCGCGUUGGAUUAGCUAGUUGGUGGGGUAAAGGCCUACCAAGGCGACGAUCCAUAGCUGGUCUGAGAGGAUGAUCAGCCACAUUGGGACUGAGACACGGCCCAAACUCCUACGGGAGGCAGCAGUGGGGAAUAUUGGACAAUGGGCGCAAGCCUGAUCCAGCCAUGCCGCGUGAGUGAUGAAGGCCCUAGGGUUGUAAAGCUCUUUCACCGGAGAAGA
rnacentral:rRNA from 1 species